rnacentral:rRNA from 1 species
UACGGAGGGUGCAAGCGUUAUCCGGAUUCACUGGGUUUAAAGGGUGCGUAGGUGGGCAGGUAAGUCAGUUGUGAAAUCUUUGGGCUUAACCCGAAAACUGCCAUUGAUACUAUUUGUCUUGAAUAUUGUGGAGGUCAGCGGAAUAUGUCAUGUAGCGGUGAAAUGCUUAGAUAUGACAUAGAACACCAAUUGCGAAGGCAGCUGGCUACACAUAUAUUGACACUGAUGCACGAAAGCGUGGGGAUCAAACAGG